GUCCCUAAAAGAAAAAAAAAAGAAAGAAAGAAAUGGAGGGAAACCCGAAGUGGUCCACUCAGUUGCGGAGAAGAGUAGCUGUUUCUUCUGAGAAGGGCAGCUGUCCAGCUUUUCAUCCCAGCCUAACCGAAGGAUGGAACUUCCUGGUUUUUUAUCCCUCCCUGUUUGAGGAGGAGAGCAAGCAGGAGAUGACACUGGCAUGGGUGGCCAUCAUGAAGGUUGUGGAAUACAUCUGGGGCAAAUGGUGCUGCAAAUGCAGAAGACCGGGGUCAGAGAAGGGCCUCCCCUGGAGGUGCAUUGUGAGAAGAUGGCCUGUGAGCAAGGAUGGGAGGGUCAGGACCAGGAAGGUUGAACUUGGGCAAUGGUCCAGAAAAGGAGUGAUAAGAGCCUGAUAAGAGCUGAAGAGGGGGAGAACAGAAAGGACCUAGAGACUGAGGAGGCAGAUGAGACCAGACUCUAGGUGAUUGACUGCGGGGGCGGGAGCGUGGGGGUGGAGCCAAGUCCUCAAAUUCACUGUUGGAUCAUCACCUGCUGUGGGUCAGUGUGGAUCUGAGUACUGGAAGCCACCCAGAAUCAUAGCCAGUGCAUCACAAACAUCCCUGAGUGAUGGAACAAGAAUGUUUACAUCCAGAAAUUCCUUGUUCAGCCUCCCUCCCAGGAAUGCACCAGGACCUAAAUUCUUCUGUACAGAGGAAAGGUACAGGCCUUGGAAUGGUCUCUCCGGCAUUGUUCCUUGGCAAACACAGGAAGAUGGGUUUCCUCUAGCUUUGUGGUGCUGGACAUCUGAAUCCGGACCCCUCCCCCAGCCUUUGGGGUAGGGAAAAGGAGGCAGAGGACCAGGCAGGCAAUGGAAAAUAAACACCCGCCCCCUGCUCUU